CUAGCAUAUCAAUAAGCGGAGGAAAAGAAACUAACAAGGAUUCCCCUAGUAACGGCGAGUGAAGCGGGAAGAGCUCAAAUUUGAAAGCUGGCGCCUUCGGUGUCCGCAUUGUAAUCUAGAGAGGUGUUUUCCGCGCCGGACCGCGUACAAGUUCCUUGGAACAGGACGUCAUAGAGGGUGAGAAUCCCGUACUUGACGCGGACGCCCGGUGCUUUGUGAUACACCCUCCACGAGUCGAGUUGUUUGGGAAUGCAGCUCAAAAUGGGUGGUAAAUUCCAUCUAAAGCUAAAUAUUGGGGAGAGACCGAUAGCGAACAAGUACCGUGAGGGAAAGAUGAAAAGCACUUUGGAAAGAGAGUUAAACAGUACGUGAAAUUGUCGAAAGGGAAGCGCUUGAAGUCAGACAUGCUUGCUAGGACUCAGCCUUGCUUUUGCUUGGUGCAUUUCCUGGUGAGCAGGCCAGCAUCGGUUUUGUCCGCCGGAUAAGGGUAGGAGGAACGUGGCACCUCCGGGUGUGUUAUAGCCUCCUACUGGAUACGGCGGAUGGGACCGAGGAACGCAGUGUGCCCUUGUGGCGGGCCUUCGGGUACCUUCGCACUUAGGAUGCUGGCGUAAUGGCUUUAAGCGACCCGUCUUGAAACACGGACCAAGGAGUCUAACAUAUUUGCGAGUAUUUGGGUGGCAAACCCGGAUGCGCAAUGAAAGUGAAUGCAGGUGGGAUCCGCAAGGAGCACCAUCGACCGAUCCGGAUUUUCUAUGAUGGAUUUGAGUAAGAGCACAUAUGUUGGGACCCGAAAGAUGGUGAACUAUGCCUGAAUAGGGCGAAGCCAGAGGAAACUCUGGUGGAGGCUCGUAGCGAUUCUGACGUGCAAAUCGAUCGUCAAAUUUGGGUAUAGGGGCGAAAGACUAAUCGAACCAUCUAGUAGCUGGUUCCUGCCGAU
rnacentral:rRNA from 1 species